rnacentral:rRNA from 1 species
GAUGAACGCUGACAGAAUGCUUAACACAUGCAAGUCUACUUGAAGUAACUUCGGUUAUGGAUGGUGGCGGACGGGUGAGUAACGCGUAAAGAACUUGCCCUUUAGCCUGGGACAACUGUUGGAAACGACAGCUAAUACCGGAUAUUAUGAAACCAAGGCAUCUUGGAUUUAUGAAAGCUAUAUGCGCUAGAGGAGAGCUUUGCGUCCUAUUAGCUAGUUGGUGAGGUAAUGGCUCACCAAGGCGACGAUAGGUAGCCGGCCUGAGAGGGUGAACGGCCACAAGGGGACUGAGACACGGCCCUUACUCCUACGGGAGGCAGCAGUGGGGAAUAUUGGACAAUGGACCAAAAGUCUGAUCCAGCAAUUCUGUGUGUUUGAUGAAGGCCUUCGGGUUGUAAAGAACUUUAAGUAGGGAAGAAGAAAGUGACGGUACCUACAGAAUAAGCGACGGCUAAAUACGUGCCAGCAGCCGCGGUAAGAC